CGUUUGCCUUGUUUUUACUCAGUAAAUUGCUUAUAUUGCUUUCAUCUCGCUUGUUGACUCUUUGAUUCGCACAGGAUUGUAUUA